UACGUAGGAUGCAAGCGUUGUCCGGAAUUAUUGGGCGUAAAGAGCGCGCAGGCGGUCUAUCAAGUCAGAUGUGAAAUAUCCCGGCUUAACCGGGAGGGGUCAUUUGAAACUGGUAGACUAGAGUACAGCAGAGGAUAGCGGAAUUCCCGGUGUAGUGGUGAAAUUCGUAGAUAUUCGGCGGAACACCAGUGGCGAAGGCGACUCACUGGCCCGAUACUGACGCUGAGGCGCGAAAGCGUGGGGAGCAAACAGG
rnacentral:rRNA from 1 species